rnacentral:rRNA from 1 species
UGCAAGUCGAACGAGAUCUUCGGAUCUAGUGGCGCACGGGUGAGUAACACGUGGGAACCUGCCUUUAGGUACGGAAUAACGUCUGGAAACGGACGCUAAUACCGUAUAUUUCCUCCGGGAAAAAGGUCCGCCGCCUAAAGAGGGGCCCGCGUCAGAUUAGCUUGUUGGUGGGGUAAUGGCUUACCAAGGCUACGAUCUGUAGUUGGUCUGAGAGGAUGAUCAGCCACACUGGGACUGAGACACGGCCCAGACUCCUACGGGAGGCAGCAGUGGGGAAUAUUGGACAAUGGGGGCAACCCUGAUCCAGCAAUGCCGCGUGUGUGAUGAAGGCCCUAGGGUUGUAAAGCACUUUCAACGGUGACGAUGAUGACGGUAACCGUAGAAGAAGCCCCGGCUAACUUCGUGCCAGCAGCCGCGGUAAUACGAAGGGGGCGAGCGUUGUUCGGAAUUACUGGGCGUAAAGGGCGCGUAGGCGGUCUAUCCAGUUGGGCGUGAAAGCCCUGGGCUCAACCCAGGAAUUGCGUCCAAUACUAAUAGACUAGAGACCGAGAGAGGAUAGUGGAAUUUCCAGUGUAGAGGUGAAAUUCGUAGAUAUUGGAAAGAACACCAGUGGCGAAAGCGACUAUCUGGCUCGGUUCUGACGCUGAGGCGCGAAAGCGUGGGGAGCAAACAGGAUUAGAUACCCUGGUAGUCCACGCCGUAAACGAUGUCUGCUAGGUGUCGGGAGGUAACCUUUCGGUGCCGCAGCUAACGCAUUAAGCAGACCGCCUGGGAAGUACGGCCGCAAGGCUAAAACUCAAAGGAAUUGACGGGGGCCCGCGCAAGCGGUGGAGCAUGUGGUUUAAUUCGAGGCAACGCGAAGACCUUACCAGCUCUUGACAUGGGUAGUAUGGAUUUUGGAGACAUUUCCUUCAGUUCGGCUGGCUACCACACAGUUGCUGCAUGGCUGUCGUCAGCUCGUGUCGUGAGAUGUUGGGUUAGUCCCGCACGAGCGCAACCUCAUCUUCAGUUGCUACGCUAGGCGAGCACUUUGAGAACUGCUGGAUGACUAGAGUAGGCGAGAUGACGUCAGUCUCAUGGCCAUUAUGGCCUAG